rnacentral:miRNA from 1 species
UUAGCACUGGAGCAGAGUCA